rnacentral:rRNA from 1 species
GAUGAACGCUGGCGGCGUGCCUAAUACAUGCAAGUCGAGCGAACGGACGAGAAGUUUGCUUCUCUGAUGUUAGCAGCGGACGGGUGAGUAACACGUGGAUAACCUACCUAUAAGGCUUGGAUAACUUCGGGAAACCGGAGCUAAUACCGGAUAAUAUUUUGAACCGCAUGGUUCAAAAGUGAAAGACGGUCUUGCUGUCACUUAUAGCUGGAUCCGCGCUGCAUUAGCUAGUUGGUAAGGUAACGGCUUACCAAGGCAACGAUGCAUAGCCGACCUGAGAGGGUGAUCGGCCACACUGGAACUGAGACACGGUCCAGAAUCCUACGGGAGGCAGCAGUAGGGAAUCUUCCGCAAUGGGCGAAAGCCUGACGGAGCAACGCCGCGUGAGUGAUGAAGGUCUUCGGAUCGUAAAACUCUGUUAUUAGGGAAGAACAUAUGUGUAAGUAACUGUGCACAUCUUGACGGUACCUAAUCAGAAAGCCACGGCUAACUACGUG